rnacentral:rRNA from 1 species
UACGAGGGGUGCAAGCGUUGCUCGGAAUUAUUGGGCGUAAAGGGUGAGGUGUGUGCCAAAAGUCUACUGUGAAAUCCCCGGGCUUAACUCGGGAAGUGCGGUAGAUACUCUGGGACUAGAGUACUGGAGGGGUUCGUGGAAUUCCCGGUGUAGCGGUGAAAUGCGUUGAUAUCAUCAGGAACACCGGUGGCGAAAGCGGCUUACUGGGUCUCUUCUGACGCUGAGGAACGAAAGCUAGGGGAGCGAACGGG